UCUAACAAUAUUUCCCUCCAACCUGAUCCUUAUCCAUUACUCUCAACUACUUAUUCCUCCUCCUUCUCCUAUAAUAUGUAACAAUACCCUCCCCAAGAGAAUCUUCUUGUCCCCAAGAAGAUGAAAAUUCUGUAAAUUGAGCCAGGACGAAUGAUUGAUCCCCCAAGUAGCUUCUUCUGCUGGAAGUUGAAGCCACUUAGAAGGCCAUGAAGAACUUGCAAGUUAUCCCUGGUAAAUCAGUUGAAGCAAAAGUGGAUGUAGCAAAAUUGUGACCAGAACUACUACUGAACUGGGGAAGUUGUACACAAAUUAUCUCUCAUCCAUUGACUGGAUUGUAUUUUCUUCCUCUGUCUCCUCCAAAUUUCAAAUUCCUUUUCUUUGAGCGGUAAAUGAUUGUAGUAUCUUAAAAGACACAUUUUCUUCCUCUAUCUACUCCAAAUUUCAAAUUCUUUCUCUUUGAGGAUUAUAUGACUA
rnacentral:misc_RNA from 1 species